rnacentral:rRNA from 2 species
CGGUGUGCCUAAUACAUGCAAGUCGAGCGCACUGGCCCAACAGAAAUGACGUGCUUGCACUGAUUUGACGUUGGAUUCCCAGUGAGCGGCGGACGGGUGAGUAACACGUGGGCAACCUGCCCCAAAGCGGGGGAUAACAUUUGGAAACAGGUGCUAAUACCGCAUAACUUGGAAAACCACAUGGUUUUCCAAUAAAAGAUGGUUUCGGCUAUCACUUUGGGAUGGGCCCGCGGUGCAUUAGCUAGUUGGUAAGGUAACGGCUUACCAAGGCGAUGAUGCAUAGCCGAGUUGAGAGACUGAUCGGCCACAAUGGAACUGAGACACGGUCCAUACUCCUACGGGAGGCAGCAGUAGGGAAUCUUCCACAAUGGGCGCAAGCCUGAUGGAGCAACACCGCGUGAGUGAAGAAGGGUUUCGGCUCGUAAAACUCUGUUGUUGGAGAAGAACGUGCGUAAGAGUAACUGUUUACGCAGUGACGGUAUCCAACCAGAAAGUCACGGCUAACUACGUGCCAGCAGCCGCGGUAAUACGUAGGUGGCAAGCGUUAUCCGGAUUUAUUGGG